AGCUCCAAUAGCGUAUAUUUAAGUUGUUGCAGUUGAAAAGCUCGUAGUCGGAUGUUGGGUGCGGCCCCGCCCGGUCAACCGCAUGGUGAGUACUGCGGCGGCGGCCCGCCUUACUGUCGGGGCUGGCCAGGACUUCACUGUCAUGGAUCCGGUGUCGACGUCGUCACUUUGAGAAAAUUAGAGUGUUCAAAGCAGGCCUACGCCCUGAAUACAUUAGCAUGGAAUGACACGAUAGGACUCCGGCCUAUUCUGUCGGUCUGCGGGCAGGGAGUAAUGAUCAAGAGAGACGGUCGGGGGCAUUCGUAUUUCGUUGUCAGAGGUGAAAUUCUUGGAUUUACGAAAGACGGACUUCUGCGAAAGCAUUUGCCAAGGACGUUUUCA
rnacentral:rRNA from 1 species